ensembl:lncRNA
CUUGUAAUCACUUGUCAUCUGUGCAUAUUUAUCUCCUGAUUUAAACAAGAUGUCUUUGUCACUCCAGAAGGGCCUCACAUUUUAGCCGGAAGCAACGGUUUGUAGUUAAAAACAUCUUAAAGAUGGAUUUAUUUCUUACAUACAAGCAGCUUUUGGCUUCUCACGAUGUUAAUUGAUGGACCGGAGAUGUUUUUAUCAGCUGUUUGGACUCUCAUUCUGAUGGCACCCAUUCACUGAAGAGGAUCCAUUGGUGAGCAAGUGAUUUAAUGCUACAUUUCUCCAAAUCUGAUGAAGAAAAAAAAAAAUAAUCUACAUCUUUGAUGGCCUGAGGUGUCAGAUGGGUCACGCUGAAGUGGGUCACCAUAAACUCUGGGGACAUAAGAACGAAAUGCUCUCAGUGCAGUGUGUGUGAGUCACAUCUCAGUGAUGAACAACAGACACUACACCACAAUUCAUUAGCAGACAUGACUGCUGCAUCAUUAUCUGCUCAUAUGUGUAGCACGACCGCUUGUGUGUCCCGAUGUGAGCAGAGAUAUGAAGAUAUUGAUCCAGUAUAUUUGAGACUGAUAUGAUGCUGCUACACUGUAAAAAAAAUUACCGUGAUUUUAACAGUAAAAACUGUGAAAAUGCUACAGUACAAACCUGUUAAAUGGGUAACGGUAAGUUCUUGUAAAAUGUAAAGGGAAAAAACGUAAACUGACGAAUUUGAUCAAAUUUGAAUUUGAUGUUUUUUCUUUGAAAUAACUAUGUUUCUUCUUAGUUUUUUCUUAUCUGUUAUGGUGAUUGGGGUCGUAUGUUACAUAUAAAUUAAUGUUUAUUGCAUAUUUCAGUUUAAUGAGUCUCACCAUGAUGGUGUUUGGUGCUUGUGUGAAUGACACUGUGCACCUUCUAUAUAUGUUAUUAUUUAAAAGCUGCUUGUGAUGGGCUUUGGUUCAUCACGUGACUUUCUCAUCACCACCUGCAUUUGGUGGUUAUUAGUGUAUUACAAAGGUACGAAACAGAUUUCAGUACUUCGAUAUGUUGGUAUAUUAACAUUAUAACAGUUAAUGAAAUUAUGGUAUUUAACUGUAAAUUUAAGUUAAAACCAUAAAACCUAAAAUGUUGUUACCAUAUUUUUUCAUGGUAGAAAUCUGGCAACCACAGCUGCCGUUUUUUUUUUUUUUU